CAAUGUCAGACAUUUCAAAAUUAAUCUUCAGAUGACUGUUCACAUCAUGGUUGAUCGUUAUACGCCACAGAAUUAGUACUUUGUGCGCAGCCUCCAUUCAAACGGAUAACCGCAUCUAAACGUCUUCUGAUUCCUGCCAUAAAUCGACUAAUUUGUUGCUAAGGUAGCAGCAACCAUUUCUGAUAAAGGGCAUUGUUUAUUUCAUGAUGUGUUUGAACUGGGGUGUCCUUUCGCGCACUUUCCGCCCAAUAGUGUCCCAAAUAUGCUCGAUGGUGUUCAAAUCCGGGCUUCGAUCGGGCCAAGGAAGAUGAACCGAAUUCCAUUUGAACAUUGGAUCUUCCUCCACGAUGCUAAUUUCCAACUUUGGCGAGCUCUGCACUACAUUGGAUACGGAAAACUGUGUGUCUGUUCGUUAGCAAAGGUCUCCGAAAUGGUCUUAUCGCACGAUAACCAGUAGCGAUAAGUCGAUCUCGAACAGUUCUUGUUAAAAG
rnacentral:lncRNA from 1 species